rnacentral:rRNA from 1 species
GCAGUCGCCGCGGGAAUACAGAGGGUGCGAGCGUUAAUCGGAUUUACUGGGCGUAAAGCGUGCGUAGGCGGCUUCUUAAGUCGGAUGUGAAAUCCCUGAGCUUAACUUAGGAAUUGCAUUCGAUACUGGAAAGCUAGAGUAUGGGAGAGGAUGGUAGAAUUCCAGGUGUAGCGGUGAAAUGCGUAGAGAUCUGGAGGAAUACCGAUGGCGAAGGCAGCCAUCUGGCCUAAUACUGACGCUGAGGUACGAAAGCAUGGGGAGCAAACAGGAUUAGAUACCCCAGUAGUCCCUGUCUCUUAUAU